GUGCCAGCCGCCGCGGUAAUACGGGGGUGGCAAGCGUUGUUCGGAAUUACUGGGCGUAAAGGGCGCGUAGGCGGCAUAGCAAGUCAGAUGUGAAAGCCCCGAGCUCAACUCGGGAAUUGCAUCUGAAACUGCUGUGCUUGAGUCCUGGAGGGGGUAGUGGAAUUCCCAGUGUAGCGGUGAAAUGCGUAGAUAUUGGGAGGAACACCUGCGGCGAAGGCGGCUACCUGGACAGUGACUGACGCUGAGGCGCGAAAGCUAGGGGAGCGAACGGGAUUAGAAACCCCCGUAGUCC
rnacentral:rRNA from 1 species